GUGCUCAAUUUGGCAGCACAUAUACUAAAACUGGAAUGAUACAGAGAAGAUUAGCAUGGUCCCUGUGUAAGGAUGACAUGCAAAUUCAUUGAGUUUUCCAUAUUUUA